CGCUGAUUUGUUAGUAGGUUAAGUUACCCGAUCGCUUUGAUUCAAAAUCAACCGUAGAAAUACGUGCCGGUUCGAGUCCGGCCUUCGCAACCA
rnacentral:tRNA from 1 species